GAAACCUGUGAGCAUAAAACUUUUAAAAUUAAAAAUUCACCCAUAAAUUUUAAUUUAACAAAAAAAAACAUUUUUGGCCUUUCAAAUUUUCAAAAUCAAAAUUUUACUUAUAAAUUUAAGUGUAUUUUUUUUAAAAUUAUUAUUUAGCCCUUUAAUAUUUUUAUUUUUAUUUUGAUCUGCACUUUUAUGUAAAUUUUAUUCAAACUUCUAGUUGCGUC
rnacentral:misc_RNA from 1 species